rnacentral:tRNA from 1 species
GCCUGGCUAGUUCAGUUGUUGGAGCAUGUGAUUCUUGAUCUCAAGGUUGUGAGUUCAACUCCCUUGGUGGGUG